rnacentral:rRNA from 1 species
AUGAUCCCUAUAGGGCGCGGUCAGCGAGAGUUCAUUAUUGGGGACAGACAGACUGGCAAAACAGAGGUAGCCACAGAUACAAUUCUCAAUAAAAAAGGGCAAGGUGUAAUAUGUGUUUAUGUAUCUAUCGAUCAAAGAGCAUCCUCCGUAGCUCAAGUAGUAACUACUUUCCAUGAGGAGGGGGCCAUGGAAUACACUAUUGUAGUAGCUGAAAUGGUGGAUUCACUUUCUACAUUACAAUACCUCGCUCCUUAUACGGGAGCAGCCAUGGCUGAGUAUUUUAUGUACCGCGAACGGCAUACUUUAAUAAUUUACAAUGAUCUCUCCGAACAGGCACAAGCUUAUCGCCAAAUGUCCCUUCUAUUAAGAAGACCUCCCGGCCGUGAGGCUUAUCCAGGGGAUGUUUUUUAUUUGUAUUCACGCCUUUUAGAAAGAGCCGCUAAAUUAAAUUCUCUUUUAGGCAAAGGAAGUAUGACCACUUUACCAAUAGUUGAGACUCAAUCUGGAGACGUUUCCGCCUAUAUUCCUACUAAUGUAAUCUCCAUUACAGAUGGGCAAAUGUUCUUAUCUGCGGAUCUAUUCCAUGCCGGAAUUCGACCCGCUAUUAAUGUGGGUAUUUCUAUUUCCAGAGUAGGAUCCGCGGCUCAAAUUAAAGCCAUGAAACAAGUAGCUGGCAAAUCCAAAUUGGAACUAGCUCAAUUCGCGGAGUGA